UCAAUUCCUAUUCUAAAUACAUUCUAAUCAACUUAAUCAACAUAAUAUCAAUUUAAAUUUAACAAUGUAAUAAAUUAAAUAAAGAUCAAUAAACUUCUUUCAUUAUAAUUCAUAAACUUAUACUACUAACAUUUUUAAUCAUUCAUACUAAAACAUAAUAACCUUUAUACACAUCCUAUGUACAUGCCACAUUACCAAAAUAAAAUAAACAUCACCAAAAGUAUGCUGAAGUCGGGUCUGGUUUUGGAUGCUGGAUCAGUACUUAACCUCUACAACCUGCGCACGGAAGCAACCGUACGCUGAGUACGCAUAUACUCAGUGGUAUCACUAUAAUUCAAUUUAUAAUUAAAUGCAUUAAAUCACACACAUACUUUUCAUCACAAUUAUCACUACUAAUAAACAAUUCAAUCUUUAAUAUUAGCAAUUAAUUAUAUAUAAAUAUCAUUCUUUUUUUUUUCUUUCUUUAUUUCAAAUUUCACUCUUCACAUAUAAUAUAUCAUUCGAGAUUAGUUUUAUCAGUAAAUUUAUUUCAUUUAUCCCUAUUAACUUGGCUCGGACUCGGCGGAUACACGGAUUCCAACCAAACACACCAGUAAACAGUAAUCAGUAACGGUAACAGUAACAGUAAAAGUAACAAUAUUCAACACACAAAGUGCUGAAUCUGUAACAGUAACGGUAACAGUAUUUCGACACACAAAGUGCCGAAUUGGUAACAGUAACAGUAAUCAGCACAUAAGUGCCUAAUCAGUAAGCCGGCAAAUACACUGUACUCUUCCAUAUCCUAUGGCAUGCCAACUAUAUCCGACUAGCCCUACUAGUUAAUAGGGUAUUUAUUUCACUUUUAGUACAAUUUUUCAUCUUAGUUCAGUAUCAAUUAUAAAUUCCUUAUUUCAAUCAGUUUCAAAGUAUUGCAGUAAUCACUACUACAGUAAUUUCACAAUUCAAUACAUUAUACGUAACAAAUUUUCAGUAUUUUCACAAUUCACGCAGUACUCAAACAAUAUCCAGUAUUCCAUAAUUUAAUUCAAUAUCGGUUUCAAUUCCAUUAUCACAUUGUAAAUUUAUCAUUUAUUAAACACUUACCUUAAAAUACUUACCACACAUAAUUAGCAAAUUAAACAUUUAAUAAUAAUAAAAUUUGAAUUAUAGUGAUACAAACCGUAAUUCCCGUGUCUAUUCCUCGUCCACUUUUUCUUUUCCUUUCCUCGUGGAUGCCUCGGGUGCGAUAUUAGCUACGAAAAGAAAUUAAGAUAAUUUUCAUAAUCAUUAGCACAACACAAUUUACUUGCUGAAAUUUUUAUCUAACUUUUACUUUAAUUUCAAUUUAAUCCUAACUAAAUCUAUAUAUUUUUCUUUCUCAAUUCAUACCUUCUUGCUACUCAAUUUCUUGCCAAACUUAUAUGUAACUAUCUAAUUUUUAUCAUAUUUUCAUAAAUUUGAAUUUAUUUCAAUUUAAUCCCUAAAAUUAAAACUUAUAGUUUAGUUUACAAUUCAAUCCUUUAUUCAAUUCCAAUCAAAAUUUUUAUCAAAUAAACCCUCAAUUCCAUCAUUAUUCAACAUAAACCCUACUAAAAAUAAUCUAUUAACUUCCAAAACCUCAACUUAUUUUCAACAAAACUAACUUCUAAAACAUCUAAAUUAAAAGAAAAGGACUUGAUUGACUUACCAAGUUAAAUUCCAAGCUUUAAAAACUCUAUUUUCCCUUUUUCUUUCUUUUUCUUCUUUCUCCCCUGUUUCUCCUCUGUUUCGUCUCUUUCUCUGUUUCUUUAUUCUUUCUAUUCUGUUUCUUUUCUUUU
rnacentral:lncRNA from 1 species